rnacentral:rRNA from 1 species
CACGAACGUUUGGUAGGCGUGCUUACACAUGCAAGUCGAACGGUGAAGCCGUUAGGGGUGGAUCAGUGGCGAACGGGUGAGUAACACGUGGGCAAUCUGCCCUGCACUCUGGGACAAGCCCUGGAAACGGGGUCUAAUACCGGAUAUGACACGGGGAGGCAUCUCCUCUGUGUGGAAAGCUCCGGCGGUGCAGGAUGAGCCCGCGGCCUAUCAGCUUGUUGGUGGGGUGAUGGCCUACCAAGGCGACGACGGGUAGCCGGCCUGAGAGGGCGACCGGCCACACUGGGACUGAGACACGGCCCAGACUCCUACGGGAGGCAACAGUGGGGAAUAUUGCACAAUGGGCGAAAGCCUGAUGCAGCGACGCCGCGUGAGGGAUGACGGCCUUCGGGUUGUAAACCUCUUUCAGCAGGGAAGAAGCGCAAGUGACGGUACCUGCAGAAGAAGCACCGGCUAACUACGUGCCAGCAGCCGCGGUAAUACGUAGGGUGCGAGCGUUGUCCGGAAUUAUUGGGCGUAAAGAGCUCGUAGGCGGCUUGUCGCGUCGGAUGUGAAAGCCCGGGGCUUAACUCCGGGUCUGCAUUCGAUACGGGCAGGCUAGAGUUCGGUAGGGGAGAUCGGAAUUCCUGGUGUAGCGGUGAAAUGCGCAGAUAUCAGGAGGAACACCGGUGGCGAAGGCGGAUCUCUGGGCCGAUACUGACGCUGAGGAGCGAAAGCGUGGGGAGCGAACAGGAUUAGAUACCCUGGUAGUCCACGCCGUAAACGUUGGGAACUAGGUGUGGGCGACAUUCCACGUCGUCCGUGCCGCAGCUAACGCAUUAAGUUCCCCGCCUGGGGAGUACGGCCGCAAGGCUAAAACUCAAAGGAAUUGACGGGGGCCCGCACAAGCGGCGGAGCAUGUGGCUUAAUUCGACGCAACGCGAAGAACCUUACCAAGGCUUGACAUACAUCGGAAACAUCCAGAGAUGGGUGCCCCCUUGUGGUCGGUGUACAGGUGGUGCAUGGCCGUCGUCAGCUCGUGUUCCGGAAAACUUUGGGUUAAAUUCCGCAACCGAGCCCAAACCCUUGUCCUGUGUUGCCAGCGGGUUAUGCCGGGGACUCACAGGAGACUGCCGGGGUCAACUCGGAGGAAGGUGGGGACGACGUCAAGUCAUCAUGCCCAUUAUGUCUUGGGCUGCACACGUGCUACAAUGGCCGGUACAAUGAGCUGCGAUGCCGUGAGGUGGAGCGAAUCUCAAAAAGCCGGUCUCAGUUCGGAUUGGGGUCUGCAACUCGACCCCAUGAAGUCUUAAUCGCUAGUAGUCGCAGAUCAGCAUGCUGCAGGCGUAUAAAACGNCGGCGUUGUAACACCG